rnacentral:lncRNA from 1 species
UUCUACCUCUUGACAUGUAGUAUGAACAUAAAGCACAGUUGAUUCCUGAGCUGUGAUGACUUUCCACUGACCAUACUACUGCAAUGAUGUUAUUCUGGGCCAAACUUCGGAAUCAAUUCUUGUCUGCUGCCUGAUUCAAUUAUUUUUAAUGCACCCUGUGGAUUUUUACUUGCUAAAGUAGAAAGAAGAUCCCAACAUUUGAUGAGAAAAUAUACAGAAGGCAUAGGUCACAUGUCUGACUCACAGCUGCGAUGUGGUGGAUCCAAAUCUCUCUGAGGCCAAAUACUGCCCAGCUCGAAUGAACGCUAUGCUCCAUGCCUGAAACAACUGCUCCAGCCCUCAGAAAAGAGUCUCCCAUUCAACUGAAGUCUGCAUAUCAGAUUCCCGUGGGAUAAUUCAUAAAGGCUCCUUGAAGUUAAUUCUGGGUAUAUCCUGAAAUAGAGGGUCUCCUCUGUUUUUUCUUCUUUUUUUCCACAACUGAGGAGACACUAGUGCCUACUUAUCUCAAUAAUGGGAUUUCUCUUUGAUGCAAUUGCAGUUUUUACUAGGCCUUUCAAUAAAUAUGUUGAAUAUUUUUCCCUGUUGUACGUGUCUGUGUGCUGCAGUGCCCUUUCUACUUUCAUAUCAGCUUAUUUCCUUUUAGCUUUUGCUACAUUUAUCAAAUAUCACAAUUGAUGUUGAGGAAGAUGAUGAUGAUGAUGUGUAGGUUUCUGUA